GAAAUGCGAUAAGUAAUGUGAAUUGCAGAUUUUCAGUGAAUCAUCGAAUCUUUGAACGCACCUUGCGCUCCUUGGUAUUCCGAGGAGCAUGCCUGUUUGAGUGUCAUUAAACCUUCAACCCCGAUUCAUUUGACUUGGGAGUUUGGACUUGGAGCGUGCUGGCGUGAGUCGGCUCCUCUGAAAUGCAUCAGCGGAAACCAAAUCCUUGGCUUUCUGGAUGUCAGUGUGAUAAUCGUGUUGCGCUGUCGUCCGUAGCUUAGGGUCCGCUUACAAUGGUCUUCGGACGAUUUAUCUCACUUGACCUCAAAUCAGGUAGGACUACCCGCUGAACUUAA
rnacentral:misc_RNA from 1 species